UACGGGGGGGGCUAGCGUUGUUCGGAAUUACUGGGCGUAAAGGGCGCGUAGGCGGUCUGCUAAGUUGGAUGUGAAAACUCUGGGCUUAACCCAGAGCCUGCAUUCAAUACUGACAGGCUAGAGUUCUGGAGGGGAUAGCGGAAUUCCUGGUGUAGCGGUGAAAUGCGUAGAUAUCAGGAGGAACACCGGUGGCGAAGGCGGCUAUCUGGACAGAGUCUGACGCUGAGGCGCGAAAGCCAGGGGAGCAAACGGG
rnacentral:rRNA from 1 species